rnacentral:rRNA from 1 species
CCUACGGGUGGCAGCCGUAGGGAAUAUUGCUCAAUGGGGGAAACCCUGAAGCAGCAACGCCGCGUGAAGGAUGAAGGUUUUCGGAUUGUAAACUCCUUUUGUUAGAGAAGAUAAUGACGGUAUCUAACGAAUAAGCACCGUCUAACUCCGUGCCAGCAGCCGCGGUAAUACUGAGGGUGCAAGCGUUAACUGGAAUCACUGGGCGUAAAGAGCGCGUAGGCGGGAUAGCAAGUCAGAUGUGAAAUCCUAGGGCUUAACCAUGGAACUGCAUUUGAAACUGUUAUUCUAGAGUAUGGGAGAGGUAGGUGGAAUUCUUGGUGUAGGAGUAAAAUCCGUAGAGAUCAAGAGGAAUACUCAUUGCGAAGGCGAACUGCUAGAACAUAACUGACGCUGAUGCGCGAAAGCGUGGGGAGCAAACAGGAUUAGAUACCCGUGUAGUC